rnacentral:rRNA from 1 species
CGUAGGUGGCGAGCGUUAUCCGGAUUUUAUUGGGUUUAAAGGGUGCGUAGGCGGCUGAUUAAGUCAGCGGUGAAAGGUAGCAGCUUAACUGUUUUACAUGCCGUUGAUACUGGUUAGCUUGAGUUGACAGAAGGCAGAUAGAAUUUCUGGUGUAGCGGUGAAAUGCUUAGAUACCAGGAGGAAUACCGAUUGCGAAGGCAGUCUGCUGCAGUCACACUGACGCUGAGGCACGAAAGUGCGGGGAUCAAACAGGAUUAGAUACCCUGGUAGUCCGCACAGUAAACGAUGAUUACUAGUUGUUGGCGCAAGUCAGUGACCAAGGGAAACCGAUAAGUAAUCCACCUGGGGAGUACGCCGGCAACGGUG